UACGGAGGGGGCUAGCGUUGUUCGGAAUUACUGGGCGUAAAGCGCGCGUAGGCGGACCUGCAAGUCGGGGGUGAAAGCCCGAGGCUCAACCUCGGAACUGCCUUCGAUACUGCGGGUCUCGAGUCCGGGAGAGGUGAGUGGAACUGCGAGUGUAGAGGUGAAAUUCGUAGAUAUUCGCAAGAACACCAGUGGCGAAGGCGGCUCACUGGCCCGGUACUGACGCUGAGGUGCGAAAGCGUGGGGGAGCAAACAGG
rnacentral:rRNA from 1 species